GGAUAACUCAUUAUGCUAGUAUAAAUGAAGUCAUUAGUGGCGGCAGUUAGUGUUGGAGAAAGAAGGAUUGAUGCAAGCCCUGUCAACUGAAUCAUCUCAAAGUUCUAAGCUGAAGGAAUUGAACAUGGAGUUGUCCCGAAAACUCGAAGUUCAAACACAAAAAUUAGAACUUUUGACUGCUCAAAGUAUGGCACAUGAGUGUCCCUGCAAGAAGACAGGAGGAUCCCCAGACCAUGCAUGACAACACUGCUUAUGCGGAUGAAGGUGAUGAGGUGGUGGAAAGGGUGUUGGGAUGGGUAAUGAAGCUCUUUCCAGGAGGGCCAUCAAGGCGGCAAACCAGCAGACUGCUUUGAUUUAUGAGUCGAAUAUUCAUCAACGAAAGCUCAUGUGCAGAUAUCUAUCAGCUCCUCACCAUCCCCACUCUUAUUCUUUGGCGGUAUAAUGAAUGUCACAUCCUCUAUAU